UACUGGACCUGUUAAGCAGAAUGGUAUGAAAAAUACUGGAAACAGCCUCCGUGAGUUGAUUGCCACAAACUUGGAUAUCAAUACUCUCUUGCUGCGCAUUCAUUGUUCAACCUAACAGAGAAAAAAUUAAAUAUAUCAAAUCCUAAAAGUGUAUAUUUGGCGUUAGUCACUUGUGUGCUAAGCAAGGGUAUAAUUUUGCUUUAUAAAAUACUGGACCUGUUAAGCAGAAUGGUAUGAAAAAUACUGGAAACAGCCUCCCUGAGUUGAUUGCCACACACUUGGAUAUCAAUGCUUUCUUGUUGUGCAUUCAUUAUUCAACCAAAAAGAGAAAAAAAUAACAACCAAAUUGUAUAAUUAUGCUUUAUAAAAUACUGGA